AGUGGGUGACCCGUAAGGAAGUCCUCCUCAAUCGAAAGGUAUGUGAUGACCUCGAGGAAGAGAAAAUGUAUCAGUCCAGAGGUUGGGAUGUAGAAUAAUGAACGCUCCUUCGGCGAACAGUGGAGGAGGUGGUGGCGUCUCACCAGCUACGACGAAUCCUUAGACAUGGCAUAAAAGAAAAGAAAAAAAAAAAAGAAGAAACCUUUACGUCACAAUAUACUUGAUGGAAUUCGAGGAGGGAAGACAAAAUUCUAAAUACAAAUCACUAAGAAGACAGUAGAGGUUAUACAGUCCCAUGGUAAAACAUAUACAGUACCGAUAACGGGGUAAUGUUAAGAGAACGUCACUUCUGUAGCCAAAGUAACAACCAUGGGCAUCGAACUCCCAACCUUUCAACCACUAGACGCCCAGGGAAAAGAAGAUACCAUACAUGGACACGCUCUCACUGGCAGCCUGCGCAGGGAUCAUCAACAUAAAAAGGACCAAUACAAAACGGGGCGACACAAAACGAGGUGUUGGGUGUUCAAUUAAAAUUUCGGCGUUGGUGGAGGUUAAUGAGUCAUGUAAUUUCUUCAGUUGGUAAUAAUAAUAAUAAUUGGCAUGAUCAUUCUCUCUUUUUUUUUUUUUCAUCCCGGCUCUAAUGAUAGGUUGAGUUCGGUUGAGUUCGGUUCGGUUGAGGUCGUGUGUAGAUCGGGUUCGGCGAAAACACAUGUGAUGGUUCGCCGUCAGAGGGCCGCAUACCAUUUAUUAAUUAGAG